rnacentral:rRNA from 1 species
GACGAACGCUGGCGGCGUGCUUAACACAUGCAAGUCGAACGGAAAGGCCCUGCUUUUGUGGGGUGCUCGAGUGGCGAACGGGUGAGUAACACGUGAGUAACCUGCCCCUGACUUUGGGAUAACUUCAGGAAACUGGGGCUAAUACCGGAUAGGAGCUCCUGCUGCAUGGUGGGGGUUGGAAAGUUUCGGCGGUUGGGGAUGGACUCGCGGCUUAUCAGCUUGUUGGUGGGGUAGUGGCUUACCAAGGCUUUGACGGGUAGCCGGCCUGAGAGGGUGACCGGCCACAUUGGGACUGAGAUGCGGCCCAGACUCCUACGGGAGGCAGCAGUGGGGAAUAUUGCACAAUGGGCGGAAGCCUGAUGCAGCAACGCCGCGUGCGGGAUGACGGCCUUCGGGUUGUAAACCGCUUUCGCCUGUGACGAAGCGUGAGUGACGGUAAUGGGUAAAGAAGCACCGGCUAACUACGUG